AACCUUAUCAUUUAGAGGAAGGAGAAGUCGUAACAAGGUUUCCGUAGGUGAACCUGCGGAAGGAUCAUUGUCGAAUCCUGCCUAGCAGAAUGACCAGAGAACUCGUAACGAACUCAAUGGGGACGAUGGGCUUUUUGUCCCAUCGUCCCUCGACGCUCGGAUCGCACGGGGCGCCUAGAGCGCUCUCGAGCUUUCUCGGCGGCACAACGAACCCCGGCGCGGAAUGCGCCAAGGAACUUGAACAAGAGAGCGAUGCUCCCAUCACCCCAGACAUGGUGCGUGUGUGGGAUGCCAUGCAAUCUCCUAUUAUUCAUAACGACUCUCGGCAACGGAUAUCUCGGCUCUCGCAUCGAUGAAGAACGUAGCGAACUGCGAUACUUGGUGUGAAUUGCAGAAUCCCGUGAACCAUCGAGUCUUUGAACGCAAGUUGCGCCCGAAGCCAUUUGGACGAGGGCACGUUUGCCUGGGUGUCACACACGGCGUUGCCCCUAAUCCCUAGGGUGCGUAUGUUGGCCUCCCGCGACGACUUUGUCCCGGUUGGCCCAAAAUCGAGCGCUGGAGCGAUUAGCACCACGACAUUCGGUGGUUGAUGAGACCCCAAUGAUCAAUGUCAUGCGCGUCGCUCGUGCAAGUGCUCCAUGAAUCUGCUCUUUACCAACGCGACCCCAG
rnacentral:rRNA from 1 species